rnacentral:lncRNA from 1 species
GCCCUGGACUGAGCGAGGGUUGGCCACCUGGGUAGUCCAUCAAAGGAUGAUGCGGUGAAGGGUGGCCAUUUGGGGAGGAAGUAAAGAUUAUUUUGGUACCUCCUCCCCCAGUUAGUGAUUGGCGGAGGUUUGCCGUGAUGUAAAACAGGGCAUAAAAAUGUCCGUAAAGGUACCGGGCCUAUUGGCCGGUCUCUCAGGGAGGAAUUCUAGGGUGGACCGUGAAGAGCCAGCCGACGCUGGUUUUGUAGGGGAGGACCAAAUGGGUUGACACCCGGAAAUGAGUUAGGAAGGGAACUCAGGGAAAGCGAGGGAAACCGGCUCACCUACUUUGCCCUCACAAAGGUCAUUUCCUGCAUGGGAUCGAUAGUUUCCUGUUUACUUACUCCUCGGGAGGGAGCGCGUACACUGGCUUCCUGGAAUAUACCCGAUAUUCACACUUAACUUUUGAGCCCAGGCUUCCCUUUUAGUCACGGUACCAACGGGAAUGAAUGAAAUGGUGAAAAGGAAACGCAAGGGAUUUAUCUCCACGUAGAGAACGGAAAUGGAGUGGGGCUGGAGGUUGUCUUUCAUGCACGCAAGAAGACAAAACUAGGCGUGUUGGCGUACACCUGUGAUGUGAGGUGAAGGCAGGAUGAGGAUGUUCAGAAGUUCAAAGUCAUCCUCGACUACGUAGAGAGAAGCAAGUCUGGAUUAAAUUUGACGAUGGGGGAGGGGCGUAUUGAUGGUUGAAAGUGAAAAGAACUCAAAAUAAACUAGCUUGGUGACUCACCCCUUUAAUCCUGUAGUUUGGGAGGCUUGCAGGCUAAUUUCUGAAUUUGAGGCAAGCCUGCUCAAACACAGCGAGAUCCAGGACAGCCCAAUUAGACUCAAAAAAAAAAAAAUCUGAACUGAAACUCUUCUGCAUAGGCAGGCACUUCACUCUCUUGUGUCUGGGACAGGCAGUGCAUACACAGAAGAAGACAAAGUAUGAGGGGAAAGAUAUUAUUUUUAAAGAUGCCCUUGUAUGUCUUAUGAACCCUCCCCACUUUUUAAAUUCUCACUUAACCACUUGUGUUAUAAAAAUAAUUACAUGUGUUCAUUAAUUCAUAAUUAAAUUUUGAAAAGAAG